AACGCAUAUUGCACCUCUCCGGAGGUAUGCCUGUUUGAGAAUCUAUAGUAUCUUUUCCCCAGUGUCUCUGGCCUGGGGGAGAUUUGGGGCGUCUCGCUCGAGUGCCCUUAAAGCUAUAGCUUGACACUGACCGAGUGCUAGAGCGUAUGUAUUUGAAACUCUCCGAGUACCUGUACGAAACUCUGGCGCGAGCUCGCUCUGGGCCAAGUCCACCACGGAGGUUGAAAAACCCGAACCAUGGUCUCAAAUCAGGUAGGAGGACCCGCUGAACUUAA
rnacentral:misc_RNA from 1 species